GCUGAGAGCAGGCCCGGUUAACUCUCUAACCUGACAGAAAACUAUCUACUUUUCUAGGUUAGUUUCCUGUCUGCUCAGGGAGUUACCUUGGCUUGUAAAGU
ensembl:miRNA gga-mir-1717 gga-mir-1717